rnacentral:pre_miRNA from 1 species
UACAAACCGUGGGUUUCCGUGCCAACGUUUGAUUGUCCGUCUUAUAUAAAAUUUUUUUAUAAUUAGUAUUUUAUUGUUGUUAGAUGAUAAAACAUGAUUAAUACUUUAUGUGUGACUUAUCUUUUUAUUUUCAUAAUUUUUUGAAAUAAGACGGACGGUCAAACGUUGGACACGGAAACC